GACGAACGCUGGCGGCGUGCUUAACACAUGCAAGUCGAACGGACCCUUUGGGGUUAGUGGCGAACGGGUGAGUAACACGUGGGUGAUCUGCCCUGCACUUUGGGAUAAGCCUGGGAAACUGGGUCUAAUACCGGAUAGGACUACGCACUGCAUGGUGUGUGGUGGAAAGCUUUUGCGGUGUGGGAUGGGCCCGCGGCCUAUCAGCUUGUUGGUGGGGUGAUGGCCUACCAAGGCGACGACGGGUAGCCGGCCUGAGAGGGUGACCGGCCACACUGGGACUGAGAUACGGCCCAGACUCCUACGGGAGGCAGCAGUGGGGAAUAUUGCACAAUGGGCGCAAGCCUGAUGCAGCGACGCCGCGUGAGGGAUGACGGCCUUCGGGUUGUAAACCUCUUUCGCCAGGGACGAAGCGCAAGUGACGGUACCUGGAGAAGAAGGACCGGCCAACUACGUGCCAGCAGCCGCGGUAAUACGUAGGGUCCGAGCGUUGUCCGGAAUUACUGGGCGUAAAGAGCUCGUAGGUGGUUUGUCGCGUUGUUCGUGAAAACUCACAGCUUAACUGUGGGCGUGCGGGCGAUACGGGCAGACUGGAGUACUGCAGGGGAGACUGGAAUUCCUGGUGUAGCGGUGGAAUGCGCAGAUAUCAGGAGGAACACCGGUGGCGAAGGCGGGUCUCUGGGCAGUAACUGACGCUGAGGAGCGAAAGCGUGGGGAGCGAACAGGAUUAGAUACCCUGGUAGUCCACGCCGUAAACGGUGGGUACUAGGUGUGGGUUUCCUUCCUUGGGAUCCGUGCCGUAGCUAACGCAUUAAGUACCCCGCCUGGGGAGUACGGCCGCAAGGCUAAAACUCAAAGGAAUUGACGGGGGCCCGCACAAGCGGCGGAGCAUGUGGAUUAAUUCGAUGCAACGCGAAGAACCUUACCUGGGUUUGACAUGCACAGGACGCCGGCAGAGAUGUCGGUUCCCUUGUGGCCUGUGUGCAGGUGGUGCAUGGCUGUCGUCAGCUCGUGUCGUGAGAUGUUGGGUUAAGUCCCGCAACGAGCGCAACCCUUGUCUCAUGUUGCCAGCACGUUAUGGUGGGGACUCGUGAGAGACUGCCGGGGUCAACUCGGAGGAAGGUGGGGAUGACGUCAAGUCAUCAUGCCCCUUAUGUCCAGGGCUUCACACAUACUACAAUGGCCGGUACAAAGGGCUGCGAUGCCGUGAGGUGGAGCGAAUCCUUUCAAAGCCGGUCUCAGUUCGGAUCGGGGUCUGCAACUCGACCCCGUGAAGUCGGAGUCGCUAGUAAUCGCAGAUCAGCAACGCUGCGGUGAAUACGUUCCCGGGCCU
rnacentral:rRNA from 1 species